rfam:Ictidomys tridecemlineatus contig129509, whole genome shotgun sequence.
GGGGAUAUGGCUCAGUGGUAAAGUGCUUGCCCAGCAUGCAGGAGGCCCUGGGUUCAAUCCCCAAUAUCACAA